ACAGAGGCACCUGUUUAUAAGGUUGCAGUGUGUGUGGUAUUCAGUUUGGAUUCUACUAUAGAAGCGAUCAGUCAGUUUCAAGUUGAAAUACACAGCACCAAUUGGCUCCUGACAUCAGGCCCGGAGAGGACACAGAAGUCAGGCACAGCUCUUAUCAGGGAGUAGAAUUGUGACAUACUUCAAGUCUGGAGGCAUUCCAUCACUUGGUCCUGGAUCCCAAUUUCCUCUCAAGUCUGGAGAGCAGGGGCACUCUGACACCUGGAAGGGACCACAGACUUGGAACUCCCCGUCCCAGGACUUUGCCCUGCAGUCAUGAUCUACAAAAUGAUGCCUGGACAACAGACCACAAACACAAUAGGAGCUCAGCGGGUUCUAUCGCCUAUUGGCACCGUGGCUGUCUGAGUGAGUCUGCUGGAUGCUGUUUGCAAAGCAAAGAUGCCUCUUGUAAACCUGUC